UUUAUAGUUACCAAUAGACUGUUCCAAUAGCAAUAAUUGAAUAGAGUAGACUUCAUAUAACUUUGUCCCAAAUAUCAUCUCUUUUUACAAUCCACACACUUCAUCUUUUUCUUCUCAAAUUUUAAAAACUUAACUGAAUUCAUGGCAUCAACUUCUUCUUCUUGUUCUGGGUGCUGUCCUCGAUGGAAGUACGAUGUCUUCUUAAGUUUUAGAGGUGAAGAUACUCGUAAAACAAUUAUAGGUUACUUGUAUGAACGUUUGACAAGGAAGGGAAUAAUUGCCUUUCAAGAUGAUAAAAGGCUAGAGCGUGGCGAUUCAAUCCCAGAAGAACUCUUGAAAGCUAUCCAAGAUUCUCAAGUUGCCCUCAUCAUUUUCUCAGGGAAUUAUGCUACAUCGAGGUGGUGCUUGGAUGAACUAGUGAAGAUCAUGGAAUGCACCAAGGAUGAAAAUGAAAAAAUAGUCAUGCCGGUAUUCUAUGGUGUGGAACCAUCACAUGUUCGAAACCAAAGUGACAGCUUUGCUGAAGCAUUUGCCAAACAUGAAUCAAAGUAUAAGGAUGAUGGUGAGGGGAUGCAGAAGGUGAAAGGAUGGAGGACUGCCCUAACUGCUGCCGCAAAUCUAAAAGGAUAUGUAUUCGGUAAUGGGGUUGAAUCUGACUAUAUUGAGUGUAUUGUUGAUGAAAUUUCGUUCAAAUGCAAGAGUUCAGUAUCUUAUUUGCACAAAGUUGUGGGAAUAGAUGCUCAAUUAGAGAAAGUAGAAUCCCUACUAAAGAUGGAAAUCAAUGAUGUUCGGAUUGUGUGGAUCUGGGGAAUGGGGGGAGUCGGUAAAACGACAAUAGCAAAGACUAUUUUUUAUAACCUCUCGUCCAAAUUUAAAGAUAGUUGUUUCCUUGAGGAUAUCAAAGAAAACAAACAUAGAAUGCACUCUCUGCAAAAUAUCCUUCUCUCUAAACUAUUAGGGGAAAAAGAAAAUUGUGUGAACAAUAAGGAGGAGGGGAAGCACCUGCUGGCUCGUAGACUUCGGUUUAAGAAGGUUUUAAUUGUGCUUGAUGACUUAAAUCACAUUGACCAGUUGGAUUACCUAGCAGGGGAUCUUGAUUGGUUUGGCAAUGGCAGUAGGAUUAUUGCAACCACUAGAGACAAGCGUUUGAUAAGGAAGGAUGUAGUACAUGAAGUGGAAACACUACUUGACUGUGAUGCUAUUAAACUGUUCAAUCAAUAUGCUUUCAUGAAAGAAGUUCCUGAUGAGUGUUUUAAGGAUCUAAUGUUGGAGAUAGUAAGUCAUGCUAAAGGCCAUCCUUUAGCGUUGAAAGUGUGGGGUUCUUCAUUACACGGGAAGGGUAUAAUUGUGUGGAGAAGUGCUCUAGACCGAAUGAAGAAAAACCCUGGUUCAGAAAUUAUUGAAAACCUCAAAAUAAGUUAUGAUGGGUUGGAGCCUGAAGAGCAAGAGAUUUUUCUAGAUAUAGCAUGUUUCUUCCGAGGAAAUGAAAAAAAAGAAGUCAUGCAAAUCCUUGAGAGUUGUGAUUUUCCAGCUGAAUAUGGAUUGAGCGUCCUUAUUGACAAAUCUCUCGUGUUCAUCUCUAGCCAUAAUAAAAUUCAUAUGCAUGACUUAAUACAAGAUAUGGGUAAAUAUGUAGUGAAAAUGCAAAAGGAUCCGGGCGAACGUAGCAGAUUAUGGCUAGCUGAAGAUUUCGAAGAAGUGAUGGUCAAUAAUACGGUAACCAAGGCAACAGAAGCAAUCUGGUUUCGUUAUCGUCAAAAAAUAUGCUUUAGCAAAGAGGCCAUGAAUAGUAUAAAAAAUCUUAGGAUAUUAUACAUAUGUCAGGAGCAUGCAUUCACAUGCAUCAAUUGCCAUGAUGGCUCCAUUGAGUACCUUUCUAACAACUUGCGUUGGCUUUCCUGGAAUCAUUAUCCUUGGGAGUCAUUGCCAGCUAAAUUUGAACCCAAAAAGCUUGUUUAUCUUCAACUAAGGUUCAGUUCACUGCGUCAUUUAUGGACCGAAACAAAGUAUUUGCGGUCCCUACAAAAGCUAGAUCUCAGGGACUCAAAAAGCUUGACACGAACACCAAAUUUCACGGGGAUGCCAAAUUUGGAGUAUCUGUAUUUGAGAUCUUGUAGUAAUCUUGAAGAGGUUCAUGAUUCCCUGGGAUGUUCUAGAAAACUCAUUUGGUUAGAUUUGAGUGAUUGUGGCCGCCUUAAGAGGUUUCCAUGUGUUAACUUGGAAUCUCUUGAAUAUCUGACUCUACAAUAUUGCUCUAGUUUAGAGAAAUUUCCAGAGCUCCUAGGAAGAAGUAACCUGGAGUUAGAGAUUUCGGUGAGAAGCACUGGGAUAAGGGAACUACCAGCAUCUAUUCAGUACCAGACUCAUAUUACCAAGCUAGAUUUAAGUCGUUUAGAAGACCUCGUAGCUCUUCCAAGAGGCAUCGGAAUGUUGAAAAGCUUGGUGGAUCUAUAUUUGUGGGGUUGUAAACAACUUGAAAGCUUGCCAGAGGAGGUAGGAGAUUUAGAAAACUUGAAGGUGCUUGAUGCCCAACAAACUCUAAUUUCACGACCUCCGUCUUCCAUCAUGUGCUUAAACAAACUUAAAUCCUUAAAGUUUGGAAAAGAUAUUGAAGAAAUAGGGUAUUCAGAAGGCUUAGAAGAUGAAGUGUACUUUGUGUUCCCUCCGGUGGCAGAAGGGUUAUGCUCAUUGGAAUAUCUGGAUCUCAGUUACUGCAAUUUACUAGAUGGAGGACUUCCGGAAGACAUUGGAUGCUUAUCCUCUUUGAAAAAGUUGUAUCUCAAUGGAAAUAAUUUUGUGCAUUUGCCUCGAAGCAUUGCCCAUCUUGGUGCGCUUCAAUCUUUGAACAUAAAAAAUUGCAAGAGACUCAAAGAGUUGCCAGAUUUCACCGGGAUGCCAAAUUUGGAGUAUUUGUAUCUCAGAUCUUGUAGUAAUCUUGAAGAGGUUCAUGAUUCCCUGGGAUGUUCUAGAAAACUUAUUCAGUUAGAUUUGAGUGAUUGUGAAAGACUUCAGAGGUUUCCAUGUGUUAACGUGGAAUGCCUUGAAUAUCUGGAUCUACGAGAUUGCUCUAGUUUAGAGAAGUUUCCAGAAAUGCUCGGAAGAAUGAAGCCGGAGUUAGAGAUUUACAUGAGACCCUCUGGGAUAAGGGAAAUACCAUCAUGUAUUAUUCAACAACAAGCAUGUCUUACAGAGCUAAAUUUGAGUUAUAUGAUAAACCUUGAAGCUUUUCCAAGCAACAUUUGUAAGUUGAAGGGUUUGGUGAAGCUAAAUGUAUCGUACUGCCCAAAACUUGAAAGCUUGCCAGAAGAGAUAGGUGAUUUAGAAAACUUGGAGUGGCUUGAUGCCACAUGGACUCUAAUUUCACGACCUCCUUCUUCCAUUGUCCACUUGAACAAGCUUAAAUUCUUAAGUUUUAAAAAAUAUAAAUCAAAAGAUGGAGUGUGCUUUGUGUUCCCUCAAGUGAAUGAAGGGUUACACUCAUUGGAACAUUUGAAUCUCAAUCACUGCAAUCUAAUAGAUGGAGGACUUCCGGAAGACAUUGGAUGCUUAUCCUCUUUGAAAGAGUUGUAUCUUUGUGAAAAUAAUUUUGAGCAUUUGCCUCGAAGCAUAACCCAACUUGGUGCUCUUCUAUCCUUGGACUUAUCACAGUGCAAGAGGCUCAAAGAGUUGCCAGAUUUCACGGGGAUGCCAAACUUGGAGACUUUGAAUCUGUCAAAUUGUAUGAAUCUUGAAGAGGUUGAUCAUUCCGUGGGAUUUCUCAAAAAGCUUUGUACAUUAAAAUUGACUAAUUGUAAAAGGCUUAAGAUGUUUCCAGUUCUGUGCAUUGAUUCCCUUGAAUAUAUGGUUAUGUGUGGGUGUUCUAGUUUAGAAAAUUUUCCAGAAAUCAUCGGAAGCAAGCAAGUGGAGUCAGAGAUUCACAUGCUAGACAGUGUGAUGAGGGAUCUAAAUUCGGUGUAUAUUUCAUUUCCAGAUUCCUUGUCUCAGAAUAUCAUUUCCUUGCAGCAUGACAUCUCUGGUUCAGAUUCCUCGUCACUAAGAGUGUUUACCAUUGAGCAUCCUGGGAAGAAGAUCCCAAGAUGGUUCCACCAUCAGGGAACGGAUAAAAGUGUAUCAGUCAAUUUGCCUCAGAAUUGGUAUGUAUUGGAUAACUUUGUGGGAUUUGCUGUAUGUUACUCUGGCUGCUUAACUGAAACUACAGCUCAAUUGAUUCCCUUGUGUGAUGAUGGCAUAUCGUGGAUGACCCUGGAAGUGAAAUCAUCCCACCAUUCAAAACGGAUUACAGAACCUAAGAUUCAUUUUUUCUUGGUACCUCUUGCUAGAUUAUGGGAUCCAUCUAAGGCAAAUGGAAAAACACCAAAUGACUAUGGAAUUGUUAGAUUAUCUUUCUCUGGAAAAAUGAAGGAGUAUGGAUGUCGUUUGUUGUAUAAAGAUGAACCAGACCUCGAAGCCUUGUUACAAAUAAGGAAAAAUAAUGAUAAACCAACAGAGAACUCCAUGAACAAUGAAGCCAGCUGCUCCUCUUGUAAGAGACAUUCUAAUAUUCGUGGGAGAGUCACCAGUCUCUUCAGAAAUUUUGCAGCUCUUUCGUGCAAACCCAGGAAUUUCUCUUAAAUAUUGUUCCGAUGUGAAGGACUAGGCUGUCUCCUAAAUAAUUACAGUAAAUAUCAUGUUCGUUUUGUGAUGGAACCAUUAAGGGCAUAUGUUGGUUAAGCAAGGGCAAGAGUUUGAGGAAAAAUCAGAAGUUCUUUGUCGAAUGGUGGGACGAUUCAGUUUAACACUUCUGCACUAAAACAUUUUCUUGUUGAAAGGUCUUGAGAUACGUUGGAAUCGUGGACGCUGCCAACAGAAAAGGGCCUGUCGAGCUGCAAAGAUACAGUAAGGAACACCCAUUUGCACAACUCUCAGGAUCGGAUGCAUGGUCCGGGUGCUGGGGCUGAAGUGAC